rnacentral:rRNA from 1 species
UACGUAGGGGGCGAGCGUUGUCCGGAAUUACUGGGCGUAAAGGGUACGCAGGCGGCUAAGCAAGUCAGAUGUGAAAGGCGUAGGCUCAACCUAUGUAAGCAUUUGAAACUGUUUGGCUUGAGUUAAGGAGAGGAAAGUGGAAUUCCUGGUGUAGCGGUGAAAUGCGUAGAUAUCAGGAAGAAUAUCAGUGGCGAAGGCGACUUUCUGGACUUAUACUGACGCUGAGGUACGAAAGCGUGGGGAGCAAACAGGAUUAGAAACCCGUAGUCC